rnacentral:rRNA from 1 species
AUUGAACGCUGGCGGCAGGCCUAACACAUGCAAGUCGAACGGCAGCACAGAAGAGCUUGCUCUUUGGGUGGCGAGUGGCGGACGGGUGAGUAAUGUCUGGGAAACUGCCCGAUGGAGGGGGAUAACUACUGGAAACGGUAGCUAAUACCGCAUAACGUCCCAAGACCAAAGUGGGGGACCUUCGGGCCUCACACCAUCGGAUGUGCCCAGAUGGGAUUAGGUAGAAGGUGGGGUAAUGGCUCACCUAGGCGACGAUCCCUAGCUGGUCUGAGAGGAUGAUCAGCGACACUGGAACUGAGACACGGUCCAGACUCCUACGGGAGGCAGCAGUGGGGAAUAUUGCACAAUGGGCGAAAGCCUGAUGCAGCCAUGCCGCGUGUAUGAAGAAGGUCUUCGGGUUGUAAAGUACUUUCAGCGGGGAGGAAGGUGUUUAGGUUAAUAACCUCAGCAAUUGACGUUACCCGCAGAAGAAGCACCGGCUAACUCCGUGCCAGCCGCCGCCGUAA